UGUUGUGAGUGGGAAUCGAAUCCACGACCGCCAGCGCUAGAGCCAGUGCUAUGACCGCUGCUCCAACGCGUCGUCGUUAGUCGUCUUCGUCACUAUAGUAAUACUUACAUAAAAAGUGAUUUUAAAAACACAUUACUCUUUAACUUUAAAUGGUGACCAAAUAUUUUGUCCCCUUUUUUAGAUGUAUUAUUUAUUUGGCCCCUUACAAUGCAUACAAUUUUUAAAAAUUACCAAAGUAAUUAAACUCUUGUAACUGCAUAUGGUUGACGAGUUAAAAGGCGAAUAAACAUUCUUACGCCGAUCAUCUCACUUUUUGCACUAAUUUUAUGUAAAAGAAUGUUCCAGAAAGAUGGAGUUAACAAGUAAAAUACUAGCACCGUUAACGAUUAUAAUAAACUUUUUAAAAGACUA